UCGGCGAAAGAUCGGCCCGCGUUAGAUUAGCUAGUUGGCGGUGUAAUGGACCACCAAGGCUACGAUCUAUAGCUGGUCUGAGAGGAUGAUCAGCCACACUGGGACUGAGACACGGCCCAG
rnacentral:rRNA from 1 species